AUUGAACGCUGGCGGAAUGCUUUACACAUGCAAGUCGAACGGCAGCACGGACUUCGGUCUGGUGGCGAGAGGCGAACGGGUGAGUAAUGUAUCGGAACGUGCCCAGUCGUGGGGGAUAACGAAGUGAAAAAUACGCUAAUACAGCAUACGAUCUAUGGAUGAAAGCGGGGGUUCGCAAGACACCGCGCGAUUGGAGAGGCCGAUAUCAGAUUAGGUAGUUGGUGGGGUAAAGGCCCACCAAGCCAACGAUCUGUAGCUGGUCUGAGAGGACGACCAGCCACACUGGAACUGAGACACGGUCCAGACUCCUACGGGAGGCAGCAGUGGGGAAUUUUGGACAAUGGGCGAAAGCCUGAUCCAGCCAUUCCGCGUGCAGGAUGAAGGCCCUCGGGUUGUAAACUGCUUUUGUACAGAACGAAAAGGUUUCUACUAAUACUAGGAGCUCAUGACGGUACUGUAAGAAUAAGCACCGGCUAACUACGUGCCAGCCGCCGCGGUAA
rnacentral:rRNA from 1 species